rnacentral:rRNA from 1 species
GACGAACGCUGGCGGCGUGCUUAACACAUGCAAGUCGAACGGAAAGGCCCUGCUUUUGUGGGGUGCUCGAGUGGCGAACGGGUGAGUAACACGUGAGUAACCUGCCCUUGACUUUGGGAUAACUUCAGGAAACUGGGGCUAAUACCGGAUAGGAGCUCCUGCUGCAUGGUGGGGGUUGGAAAGUUUCGGCGGUUGGGGAUGGACUCGCGGCUUAUCAGCUUGUUGGUGGGGUAGUGGCUUACCAAGGCUUUGACGGGUAGCCGGCCUGAGAGGGUGACCGGCCACAUUGGGACUGAGAUGCGGCCCAGACUCCUACGGGAGGCAGCAGUGGGGAAUAUUGCACAAUGGGCGGAAGCCUGAUGCAGCAACGCCGCGUGCGGGAUGACGGCCUUCGGGUUGUAAACCGCUUUCGCCUGUGACGAAGCGUGAGGGACGGGAAUGGGUAAAGAAGCACCGGCGAACUACGU